AUUGAAUUUAGAACAAGGUUUUAGGUUAAGUAUUGAGAGUCCGUCAAAUAUACAAACAGCUUUGGGAACAGUCAUAACCAUACGACGAGAAAACAACUAAGCAAACCUCUGGACUUGGAGACUAAUACUAGACAUUUGGUACAUUUCUGUUGAACGGAACUGUUGACAUUGGGGAUAGGAAAAAUAAAACGAAUCCCACGAUGACUCGUUCGUGGGCAUGCCCCAUAAAUUUUUGGAUCGGAUUUACUCUAUGUGAUCCGAAGAGCCAAUCGAUUGAUUUCAUCCCGAUCGUGAUCCAAGCAUUGUACUAGCAUUGUAGCUUACACACAAUUUAUUUAAUGAAGGUUAUUUAUUAUUCGGCGAUCGAAGUGUAGUUUGCAUAAGCAAUAAAUUUACACCAAGUGUCAAUAUUUACACCUUAGUUUCAUAGCGAAAAAUUUUGAUCAAGAUCUUAAGAAAUUUUCGUUAUCCAGGUGGGUCAAGGGCUUUGUGUAGAAAACGGUCAUUUUUGAUAUGGCGCGUAUCGCGGGGAGCUUUCUGACUUUGGAACCCUAACCAGUGAUACCUUGUCAUCACCAGCUCACCACCUCACCACCAUCAGCGCCAAUUUUUUUAACACUUUAUAUUUAACAUGAUUUAGAAAAUAUAUAGUAAAUUUAAAUAAACAACUUGUAUUUAAAUAAUUUGAAAA